ACUAUGUUGCAAGUGCAAAACCACGGACCCCACCUUUCAGGACUGCAAUAUUGUGAAGAUUUGCCAAAAUGGAGAGAUGUGUCUACAUAAAAAGAGAUCAAGUAACGAGUCAACUGAAUACAUAAUGGGCUGCGCCACCCCGCAGGUAAUAAGGAGGUUGUUUAGGGACGAACAUACAUGCUGGGCUUUUAUUCGUGUUCAACCCAUACAGGCCUGUAAUGGUCAAGUGCUUAUUGUGGGACGGAGAGCACGCUGUUUAAAACAAUAUGUUUACGGGCGCGACACAACUAUUGACUGCUGCACAACACACUUUUGUAAUCUACCAUCCUCGACAAGUACCAUGUCUUCUACUACAAUAACCACAACCUUAGCCUAAACAACUACGCGCACAUAUUAACCAGCUUGCGACGUCACCAAUGGUUACAAACAACUCUAUGACAACGAAGGCGGUACCACACUAUGCGUUAAGGUUCACAAAACAAAUUUGAAAGCAUGGGACGCUGCAAGAGCACAAUGUCGCCAUGAAACGACCUGGUCGUUUUAGAUUCAUUGCAGAAACUUCAACUGUUACAAACCGAGCUGACAAGAAUGGGACUAGGAGAUGGAGCCAUUCUUUGGAUAGGUGCCCAAGAUGUGCUGCAACCUCUUCACUUCAUCUGGACAAAUGGACAUCCGGUUGAUAUGUCCAAUGGCUGGGCACAUGGUGAGCCGUCGGGUAACCAGCACUGCGUCUCGAUAAACCACGUGAGCGGCUAUAAGCUACACAGCAACAAUUGUGGGCAUCUUAACAAAUUCAUAUGCCAACGUGUGA